rnacentral:tRNA from 1 species
GGGGAUAUGGCGAAAUUGGUAGACGCUACGGACUUAAAAAAUCCGUCGACUUUUAAAAUCGUGAGGGUU